UACAGAGGUCUCAAGCGUUGUUCGGAUUCAUUGGGCGUAAAGGGCGCGUAGGCUGCGGGGCAAGUCGGGUGUGAAAUCUCAGAGCUCAACUCUGAAACUGCACUCGAUACUGCUUUGCUUGAGGACUGGAGAGGAGAUUGGAAUUCACGGUGUAGCAGUGAAAUGCGUAGAUAUCGUGAGGAAGACCAGUGGCGAAGGCGGAUCUCUGGACAGUUCCUGACGCUGAGGCGCGAAGGCCAGGGGGAGCAAACGGGG
rnacentral:rRNA from 1 species